GAUGAAGAACGUAGCGAAAUGCGAUAAGUAAUGUGAAUUGCAGAAUCCAGUGAAUCAUCGAAUCUUUGAACGCACAUUGCGCCCGCCAGUAUUCUGGCGGGCAUGCCUGUCCGAGCGUCAUUUCAACCAUCAAGCCCCAGGCUUGUGUUGGGGACCUGCGUCCGACGCAGGCCCUGAAAACCAGUGGCGGGCUCGCUGUCCACACCGAGCGUAGUAACUAACCUCGCUACGGGAGCGGCGCGGGCGCCUGCCGUAAAACCCCCAAUUUUCACAAGGUUGACCUCGGAUCAGGUAGGAAUACCCGCUGAACUUAGGCAUAUCAAUAAGCGGAGGA
rnacentral:misc_RNA from 1 species